GAGUUAAUCGAAAUUACUGGGCGUAAAGCGUCCGCAGGCCGUUUUAUAAGUCUGAUGUGAAAUCGCCGGGCUCAACCUGGGAACUGCAUUGGAGACUGUAAGGCUACAGUGUGUCAGAGGGCGGUAGAAUUCCACGUGUAGCAGUGAAAUGCGUAGAUGUGUGGACGAAUACCGAUGGCGAAGGCAGCCCCCUGGGAUAACACUGACGCUCAUGCAGGAAAGCGUGGGGAGCAAA
rnacentral:rRNA from 1 species